rfam:Thermoplasmatales archaeon SG8-52-3 WOR_8-12_3134, whole genome shotgun sequence.
GCGGGGAUGGCCCAGCCCGGCACGGCGAAGGAUUGCUAAUCCUUUGGUCUUACGACCACGGGAGUUCGAAUCUCCCUCCCCGCG